rnacentral:rRNA from 1 species
UACAGAGGGGGGCAAGCGUUUGUUCGGAAUUACUGGGCGUAAAGGGCGCGUAGGUGGCCUUCUAAGUUGAACGUGAAAUCCCUGGGCUCAACCCCAGGAACUGCGUCCAAGACUGGGAGGCUUGAAUCCGGGGAGAGGGAUGCGGAAUUCCAGGUGUAGCGGUGAAAUGCGUAGAUAUCUGGAGGAACACCGGUGGCGAAGGCGGCAUCCUGGACCGGGAUUGACACUGAGGCGCGAAAGCCAGGGGAGCAAACGGG